AUUAUCUUGGCAGAUUAGUGCAAUAAAUUUAGGAUUUAUUUAUGUAGUUGGAGCUACAGAUAAUA
rnacentral:tRNA from 1 species